CCUACGGGAGGCAGCAGUGAGGAAUAUUGGACAAUGGGCGCAAGCCUGAUCCAGCCAUGCCGCGUGCAGGAAGAAGCAUCUAUGGUGUGUAAACUGCUUUUGUACAGGAAGAAACACUCCCUCGUGAGGGAGCUUGACGGUACUGUAAGAAUAAGGACCGGCUAACUCCGUGCCAGCAGCCGCGGUAAUACGGAGGGUCCGAGCGUUAUCCGGAAUCAUUGGGUUUAAAGGGUCCGUAGGCGGUUUAAUAAGUCAGUGGUGAAAUCUGGUCGCUCAACGAUCAAACGGCCAUUGAUACUGUUAGACUUGAAUUAUAAGGAAGUAACUAGAAUAUGUAGUGUAGCGGUGAAAUGCUUAGAUAUUACAUGGAAUACCAAAUUGCGAAGGCAGGUUACUACUUAUGGAUUGACGCUGAUGGACGAAAGACGUGGGGAGCGAACAGGAUUAGAUACCCUGGUAGUCCACGCCGUAAACGAUGGAUACUAGCUGUUCGGAGCAAUCUGAGUGGCUAAGCGAAAGUGAUAAGUAUCCCACCUGGGGAGUACGUUCGCAAGAAUGAAACUUAAAGUAGAAUUGACGG
rnacentral:rRNA from 1 species